rnacentral:pre_miRNA from 1 species
AGUGGAAUUGCUGGAUUAUAUGGUAGGUUUAAGUUUACUUUUUAAGAAAUUGUUAAACUAUUUUCCAAAGUGGCUGUAUCAUAUUACAUUCCUGCCAACAGU